GACGAACGCUGGCGGCGUGCCUAACACAUGCAAGUCGAGCGAAUGAAGUUCCUUCGGGAAUGGAUUUAGCGGCGGACGGGUGAGUAACACGUGGGCAACCUGCCUCAUAGGGGGGAAUAGCCUCCCGAAAGGGAGAUUAAUACCGCAUAAGAUUGUAGUACCGCAUGAUACAGCAAUUAAAGGAGCAAUCCGCUAUGAGAUGGGCCCGCGGCGCAUUAGCUAGUUGGUGAGGUAAUGGCUCACCAAGGCGACGAUGCGUAGCCGACCUGAGAGGGUGAUCGGCCACAUUGGGACUGAGACACGGCCCAGACUCCUACGGGAGGCAGCAGUGGGGAAUAUUGCACAAUGGGGGAAACCCUGAUGCAGCAACGCCGCGUGAGUGAUGACGGCCUUCGGGUUGUAAAGCUCUGUCUUCAGGGACGAUAAUGACGGUACCUGAGGAGGAAGCCACGGCUAACUACGUG
rnacentral:rRNA from 1 species